CCAAUAGCGUAUAUUAAAGUUGUUGCAGUUAAAAAGCUCGUAGUUGAAUUUCGAGAUCAGUACGCUGGUCGUGCCUUUGGUAUGCACUGGUGUCACUGGUUUCUCCCUUCUGAAGAACUGUCAUGCCAUUCAGUUGGUGUGGCGGGGAAUCAGGACUGUUACUUUGAAAAAAUUAGAGUGUUUAAAGCAGGCUCGCGCUUGAAUACAUUAGCAUGGAAUA
rnacentral:rRNA from 1 species